rnacentral:misc_RNA from 1 species
UAUGAAGAACGUAGCGAAAUGCGAUAAGUAAUGUGAAUUGCAGAAUUCAGUGAAUCAUCGAAUCUUUGAACGCAUCUUGCGCUCCUUGGUAUUCCGAGGAGCAUGCCUGUUUGAGUGUCAUUUAACUUCUCAACCACAUUGGAUAUUUUUUUUCCGAUGCCGGCUUGGAUGUGGGGGUUGUUUGCAGGCUUUUUGUAACAAAAAAGGUCGGCUCCCCUGAAAUGUAUUAGUGGUAUCUGAGGCUAUUACUAUUAGGUGUGAUAAUUAUCUAUGCCUUUUGGGUAUGCCGCAUGAACAGAUUAUGCUGCUUCUAACGAAAACUAUUUUGAUGAAUUUGACCUCAAAUCAGGUAGGACUACCCGCUGAACUUAAGCAUAUCAAUAAGCGGAGGA